rnacentral:rRNA from 1 species
UACGUAGGGGGCAAGCGUUGUCCGGAUUUAUUGGGCGUAAAGAGCGUGUAGGCGGCCAGAUAGGUCCGUUGUGAAAACUCGAGGCUCAACCUCGAGACGCCGAUGGAAACCAUUUGGCUAGAGUCCGGAAGAGGCGAGUGGAAUUCCUGGUGUAGCGGUGAAAUGCGCAGAUAUCAGGAGGAACACCUAUUGCGAAGGCAGCUCGCUGGGACGUAACUGACGCUGAGACGCGAAAGCGUGGGGAGCAAACAGG